ensembl:misc_RNA Y_RNA Y RNA
GGCUGGUCCAGUGGUAAUGGGUUAUCAGAACUUAUUAACAUUAGUGUCAUCAAAGCUGGUAUUCAACCCUCCACUGCUAAAUUUGACUGGCUUUAA